GGAGGGAUGGCCGAGUGGUUGAAGGCGCACGCUUGGAAAGCGUGUUUACCUCGCGGUAACGAGGGUUCGAAUCCCUCUCCCUCUU
rfam:Fibrobacter sp. TWEL genome assembly, contig: Ga0136282_114